GGGCAUGCUGCUUGGCACACUGUGGCCAGCCAGGCUGACUCUGCUUCACCUGGUGAACUUGGCAAGGAGUUCGUGGCUCUUGUGGGCCCUCCACUCAAACCAUAACUGCCUGUCUUUUGUCCACAGCACCUCGUCACUGAUCUGGGGCUGAGAGACAGCACAAGCCAAGCAGCUGUUUCCCAUUACCUGCUCGUCACAUUUCAGCAGCCCGUAGUGAGACUGCCAGGCAUGCCCACACCACUCUCAAGAGACAGUGGAGUUUCCCUCCUGAGAGACCACCUGUUUAUUUCACUCCUGUCCUCCCAGAAACAUUUUCUGACGAACACACUUGGGUCAUUCAGGCUGCUCUCAAUCUUUCGUCAAUAUAAAGAUGCCACCCUGCACUUGCUUGCACACCCAUGCAAAGUUUGCUGUGGAGUAAGUAGACCAGAAGGCCCUUAGGUGAGAUUUUUUUUUUUUUUUUUUGGUUUGAAUAAUGAGAUGACUCUGAGUUUCUUGACACUGGGGCUGAGUCUUAGUUACCCUCCCACCCCACCAAAACCCAUACUAUAACACAGACAUUUGGGGAGAGGGCAGAGCUUGCCCUGGGCCCGUUUCCUCCCUUGAACUUGUGUGUUGUGAGCCUCACAGAGCUGAUGGGAUGUAUAGACUAUAACUGCUAAUUCACCAGCCAGCUGUUGACCUCAGGUGGAAUUUCGGCCCACCUACAGAAACGGUUUUGCCAAUCUCUUUCCAUAAAUGAUAAGAGCCAAGAUCAAUUAUUCUCUUAAAAUAGAAACCUUCAAGAAAUUGGAAGUCUGUGACUUUAAAACCAGCUGAUUUAACAGAAAUAAUGUUUCUGGAUUAUGAACUUGGUAUUAUGGUAUGGUAUAGAAAGUCUUUGUUUAAAAAAAUUAUCUUGCUGGCUCAAAGACAGGCUUUGAAGACAAACCUCAUCCAUUUUGCACUGCUGUUUUUCAGUUCAACAAAGGUUUUUUUUUUUUUUUCUAAUUAAUUUUAUUGUACUCCGUGCCUUAAAAGUUGACAAUCGAGUAGGUCAACUCUUUCCCAACACUGACACUAAAUUAGCCAGUUGACCUUGUAAGGGUUCCUUAUCUGCACUAGGUGGCAGUUUGUAGAACAGCUAAGGGAGGGGUUAGAUAAGACUGAAACUCUGGGAUCUUAACCUUGGAGAUCAAGCUGUUUCUGUAUUUUGAUAGCUGCCCACUGUUUGUUAGACAGCGAGUCCUCUCCUGACGUGAAACCCUAACCGCACAUGAGGGGUAAUGUUGGAUUGACUGUCUAAACCUUCUCGGAACUUGAAGUGCAAACAAAGGGUUAAUGUCACAUUUAACCAUCGAAAUGGGCCCUUUAGGGGCCUUGUUUGCCUUCAGAAACUUAGCUGUGCAGGGACCUUUGGUGGAGAUUUCUGGGUGGAGACGGGCUGGCUCUCAGGAGUGGCCCAGGGAUUACAGAUGAAUUAGCAUUUCUUCCGUGGCUCAUUACCGGGGAUAAAGGUGCCUCCCGCAGCUCCCAGCAGGUUGGGAGCAGGAAGUUGGGUGGUUUAGACAGCAGGAAUCUGGCUCCACAAAGGCUGCUGAAAAGCCAUUGUUCCAGGGCUUAACGGGCCCCUUUCGUUGGCAGCUCCCUCGUGUCUCAACCAGAGCCAAGGUCUUCACCCAGACACUGAUAAACAGCAUAGUCAGUGCCAGGAUAAGCUUCAUGGCCCUCCCCCACCAGUCAGUCACUCCCCCUGCUCAAGAACCUUCAGUGACUCCCCAUUGCCCACCCUCUCUCUGCUUGCCACUCCAAGUUGACUCCGGUCCAGCCUCAUACCUGGAUAAGUUUCAUGCCCACUGCUUCGCAGGGUUUCAUUUAACCAGUGUGUAUCCAGCAUCCAGUCUGGGCCAGGCACUAUGCUAAAAGCUAUAUCCCUUGUUUUAUCUUGAUGAGCAUUCUUUUUUUUUUUUGUCUUUUUGUUGUUGUUGUUGUUGUUGUUGUUGCUAUUUCUUGGGCCGCUC
rnacentral:lncRNA from 1 species